rnacentral:rRNA from 1 species
UACAGAGGUCCCAAGCGUUGUUCGGAUUCACUGGGCGUAAAGGGUGCGUAGGUGGUGAGGUAAGUCGGAUGUGAAAUCUCCAGGCUCAACCUGGAAAUGGCAUUGGAAACUACCUUGCUAGAGGGUUUGAGGGGGGACUGGAAUACUUGGUGUAGCAGUGAAAUGCGUAGAUAUCAAGUGGAACACCAGUGGCGAAGGCGAGUCCCUGGAAAACUCCUGACACUGAGGCACGAAAGCUAGGGGAGCAAACAGG